UGUUUGAUCGAGAAAACCAUGUGUCCAGUGGGAGGAGGAAGACAUCCAAAGAAAUGAGAGCUGCUAAGGAGUCGAAGAAGAUGGAGUCUAAAAUCACUCUGCCCCCCAUCAAAAAGCUGUCCUCAGCCUCUAGCAGGCCCUCCAAGCCUCGGCCCCUUACCCCCAGGCCUCCGGCAGCAGGAUCAGCUGGGGACAAACUGAAGAGCUCCCGAGAACGAGGAGGAGGAGGAGGAGGGGGAGGAGGGGGUGGUGGCGGCCGAGGAGGAUCGGAUGGAAGUGGAGGAGGAGGUGAGCCCAAGCAGGUCCUGCGUUCUUGUGAGUGACUUCAGUUUGGCACUGAGUCCUCAGACUGGAAGCCUAAGGACUAGAGGAAAAGAAACAAAAGCACAGGGUUGGGUGAUGGGGAGAAUGAGGGACAGAAAUGGAGUCGGCAGAGACACAUGCUGUGGGUAAAAGGGAGGACGUGGGACAUAUGUGGGAUGCCGUGGAGAAAAGGAAGGAGGAGUGUGGAGGAGAGAGUUUGCUGCAGUGGGAUAUGGAAUUGCAGAGACUCAAAUACCUCGUCCUACCUUUGUGACCUCGGCAAGCUGCUUGUGAGUCUCUGGACCUCAUCUUUUUGAUCGUUUGUAAAAUGGAGGGGGGUGGUGUUGGACCACACGGUCCUCUGAGGGCCCCUCUGGCUCCCUGAUCCCAUCAAUCCUGCCCUUGCCUCUCCCCCUUGUCACCACAAACUAGUCAGUUAACUCUUCUCUUUCCUCAUCUAUAAGGAUGAGAGGAAAAACUUGUAAGACCGCCCUACCUCCCAAAUAAGAUAAUGCAAGGAAAACCCGAGGGUUUGCUCUCUAAAUGGAAGCUACUGUUCAGGUUUAGACACUGUAAUAGAGAGGACUAAACUUCUCCAGGUACCAGUGAAUCUCCCUGUCUGUCUCCUUGCACAGUGACCAUCUCUCUGACUUUGCCAGUGCCAGGCAAAAGCAAUGACAGAAGCAACAAUGGCAUAAAUGACUCCAAGACUGCUCAUUCCAGCCAUAUUCAGUGGAAGCCUCAGGGUCCAUAUCCCCCCAGCUUCGACCAGACCCCCACUCCUGGACAAGAGGAAGAAAAGCCCAGUUUAACAAAGAGCCAGCCCUUCAAGACCAAACAGCAGGCCUCAGAUAAAACUGCUUCUCGGGAUAAAUCAUCCCAGGAUAAGGCACCUUCCCGGGAGAAGAAACACAGUGAAAAGACUGCCAGUCAGGACAAAACCCCCUCCACGGAGAAGCCCCUCCCCCCUGACAAGAACGCAGGCAAGACCCCAUCCACAGACAAGGACAAGAAGACCUCCACCCAGACCUCCACAGACAAGAACAAGCCCUCAGUCAACCCCCUCCCUGUGGACAAACCACCCUCUUCAGGCCAACUCUCUUCUGAAAAAGCAUCCCCUGCCAAGUCACCCUUCCCAGAGCAGCCCCUGUCAGACUCUCAGGGAGCCAUAGGAGCAGCUGACUUCGAGCAGUCAGUGGAGGAAGAGAUAUCAGAUAGCGCUCUGAGUGGCUUGACAGACCGAAUGGAUCAGGUGGAGACUGAAGUCGCUUCUCUGAGGGAGAUGUUGGCGCUUCUGAUGUCACAGCAGGAAAAGGACAUGUCAGAAAUCCAGGAGGAGCUGAGAACUGAACGGGAGCAGAGACUGGAACUGCAGGCUAAGUUCGAGAUGCUGAAAUCAAAGACAAAUCUGGUGUAGGGCCCAGGCCGGAGGCGGCUUGUCCUUGCCCACGGACACAGGCUUCGCCUCCUCCCCAUUCCUGAGGGGCCGUCCCGCCCCUUCCCCACGGGGGCGGGAGGAGCCUCAAGCAACACCCCCCCCUCCUCGCUCUCCCCUUCGGGGCUUUGCGGGUGAGAGUGUGGGGGCUGUGGCUGGGCGCCCCAAACUCUGCGUGAGACGGGCCGGGGCUCUUUGCGUCCCGCCCCAAGGAGUCCUCUUAACCCCUCCUCAAAAAACCUAUUCCGGACGCCGCCCCGCCCCUGCCCCCCCCCAUCAGAAACAGAGUGUAAUAAAAUUGUAUUUGUAAUAGCGCCUCUGAGGGGC
ensembl:lncRNA